GCCUAACACAUGCAAGUCGAGCGGAUGACGGGAGCUUGCUCCUUGAUUCAGCGGCGGACGGGUGAGUAAUACCUAGGAAUCUGCCUGAUAGUGGGGGACAACGUUUCGAAAGGAACGCUAAUACCGCAUACGUCCUACGGGAGAAAGCAGGGGACCUUCGGGCCUUGCGCUAUCAGAUGAGCCUAGGUCGGAUUAGCUAGUUGGUGAGGUAAUGGCUCACCAAGGCGACGAUCCGUAACUGGUCUGAGAGGAUGAUCAGUCACACUGGAACUGAGACACGGUCCAGACUCCUACGGGAGGCAGCAGUGGGGAAUAUUGGACAAUGGGCGAAAGCCUGAUCCAGCCAUGCCGCGUGUGUGAAGAAGGUCUUCGGAUUGUAAAGCACUUUAAGUUGGGAGGAAGGGCAGUAAGCUAAUACCUUGCUGUUUUGACGUUACCGACAGAAUAAGCACCGGCUAACUCUGUGCCAGCAGCCGCGGUAAUACAGAGGGUGCAAGCGUUAAUCGGAAUUACUGGGCGUAAAGCGCGCGUAGGUGGUUCGUU
rnacentral:rRNA from 1 species